GCCUGGCUGGCUUAGUCGGUACAGCAUGUGACUCCUGAUCUCAGGGUUGUGAGUUUGAGCCCCACACUGGGUG
rnacentral:tRNA from 1 species